rnacentral:rRNA from 1 species
AUUGAACGCUGGCGGCAUGCCUUACACAUGCAAGUCGAGCGGCAGCGCGGGGGCAACCCUGGCGGCGAGCGGCGUACGGGUGAGUAAUGCAUCGGAACGUGUCCUCUUGUGGGGGAUAACCAGUCGAAAGACUGGCUAAUACCGCAUGAGAUCGCAAGAUGAAAGCAGGGGACCCGCAAGGGCCUUGCGCGAGAGGAGCGGCCGAUGCCCGAUAGCUAGUUGGCGGGGUAAAAGCCCACCAAGGCGACGAUCGGUAGCUGGUCUGAGAGGACGACCAGCCACACUGGGACUGAGACACGGCCCAGACUCCUACGGGAGGCAGCAGUGGGGAAUUUUGGACAAUGGGGGCAACCCUGAUCCAGCCAUGCCGCGUGUGUGAAGAAGGCC